GAUUAACGCUGGCGGCGUGCAUAACACAUGCAAGUCGAACGAUGAAACUUAAAAGAUUUCUUCGGAAUGAACUUAAGUGGAUUAGUGGCGAACGGGUGAGUAACGCGUGAGUAACCUGCCUUACACAAGGGGAUAGCCUCUGGAAACGGAGAAUAAUACCCUAUGACAUUACAACCUCGCAUGAGGAAGUAAUCAAAGUGUUUUAGCGGUGUAAGAUGGACUUGCGUCUGAUUAGCUAGUUGGUGAGAUAACAGCCACCAAGGCAACGAUCAGUAGCCGGCUUGAGAGAGUGUACGGGCCACAUUGGGACUGAGACACGGCCCAGACUCCUACGGGAGGCAGCAGUGGGGAAUUUUGCACAAUGGGGGCAACCCUGAUGCAGCGACGCCGCGUGAUUUAGAAGGCCUUCGGGUUGUAAAAAUCUUUUGUAUAGGAAGAAAAUGACAGUACUAUACGAAUAAG
rnacentral:rRNA from 1 species